rnacentral:tRNA from 1 species
AGGGGUAGAGCUCAAAGAUAAAGCACAUGCUUAGCAUGCACUAGGUCCUGGGUUCAAUCCCCAGUGCCUCUG